rnacentral:rRNA from 1 species
CACUCCUGCGGGAGGCAGCAGUGGGGAAUUUUGGACAAUGGGGGCAACCCUGAUCCAGCAAUGCCGCGUGAGUGAAGAAGGCCUUCGGGUUGUAAAGCUCUUUUGUCAGGGAAGAAACGGUGGUGGCGAAUAACUACUACUAAUGACGGUACCUGAAGAAUAAGCACCGGCUAACUACGUGCCAGCAGCCGCGGUAAUACGUAGGGUGCAAGCGUUAAUCGGAAUUACUGGGCGUAAAGCGUGCGCAGGCGGUUGUGUAAGUCAGAUGUGAAAUCCCCGGGCUCAACCUGGGAAUUGCAUUUGAGACUGCACGGCUAGAGUGUGUCAGAGGGGGGUAGAAUUCCACGUGUAGCAGUGAAAUGCGUAGAUAUGUGGAGGAAUACCGAUGGCGAAGGCAGCCCCCUGGGAUAACACUGACGCUCAUGCACGAAAGCGUGGGGAGCAAACAGGAUUAGAAACCCUUGUAGUCCCAUGA